GGGGAGGCCUUCCAGAGAGGGUCACGUUCAGGCCGGGCACCGAGGACAGAUCAGGAGUUCUUCAGGCAGAGGAGACGGAAGGGAAUUCUAGACGGAGGUCUGAUGUGUGGCUGUGUUCAUGUGUUAUUACACGUCAUGCCCUAAAGGAAUAACAUCCUAAAAUUCAGCUGUGAAAUUCAGACAACCUUCCCCCCUUGAAUCAACAAGGCCUGACUGCCCAAUUAGAGGCAAACAUAAAUAUACUUUGAGGACUGCUUUGUGAUGAGCAAUCUGCUAUCCCUUGGGAACUCAGAGAGUGGUAAAACAGAGCCUCUGCUCCAUAGGAGCUCAUAGUUUAGGUAAGCACAUAGUGAGCCUCCAUGAACAAGUAACUAAUGAAAGUAGAAUAGGAACCUUAUGAGAGUGAAGUGAGUGGGAGAGAUAGGAACAUUUUAGCCAUUUAUAGGACAGAGCUGGCUUUGGUGGGGACUGGAACAAUCAUGGAGAGCUUCCUGGUAGAGGAGGACUCUAGGUUGGAAUUUGGCAGAGGGCUUGGAUAUAUACUGAGAGGGGGCGGGAAUAGAUCUUAGACAAUGGGCACAGAACACCCAGGAUUGCUGGAAGCCAGCCUGAGGAUAGAGACUGGUAGAGCCUUGAGCCAGCCUGGAGUUUGGAGUUUGUGCUGUCUGAGGGCCUAGGUGCUGACAUCCUCCCACCGGUGGGCAGACUGCGUGCAGGGCCCUACAGGUGAAGGGACACUUGGUUUGGCCAGUACCAUGACAUGUCCUAGUGUUGCACACCCUGGGGCCUACAGAACCAGCAGUUGUUGGUACAAAAGCUCCUCAUCCUCCCCAAGACAGAUGCUGUGAGAUGACUGUUACGACCGCUGCUUGAUAUUAGAUAAGAGCAAACAAGCAGGCAACUGUGGUUCUUUUCACAAAGGGCAUUCGGGGCAGGGGGUGUGGGGGCUGCCAAGAUCUUAGCCCAGGGGGCCUGGGCACGGUGGUAGCAUCUGCUGCAGCCCCAAAUUCACAGUUACUAAAUUAAAUGACUGCUUCUACAGACACAGCAUGGUAUCAACCCUCUGUCAAUUCUUGAACCUCACUGGGAGCCCAGCUUUUGUUCCUUGCAGCCACCUUGCCUUCCCCCCUGGCCUUCAGAGGUGGAAGAGAUGCCCUCCUCCAUCUGCUGGGGUGGGAGAGGAGGUUGUUUAAGGCUCACAGCAAAGGCAACCCCUUGGACGACCCAGAGGUUGUAGGUGGAAUUCUGGCCUGGGAGGCGGGAGCUCUGGUUCUAGUCUGGGCCCAGCACUGAUUCAUAGAGAGGUCUUGGGUCCAGCAUUUCUCUCUGGGCCUCAGUUUCCUCUCUAAUAAACAGAGAAAAUGAUGUCUAUUGGGUUGAUUUUAUGUUUUGAUGUUGGAUAAGAAAGAGUUUUCACAACAUAUGUUCUGUCCUUUGAGUGUUUUGGAAAAUUUAGACGCAGUAAAGUUCUAGACUUUCAUAACAGACUUAGUAAGGAGGGGAUGAUUGAGCCAGUCGCCUUCCUUCCCACAUCAAGGGGUCCCUGAAACAGACCCUCUGAUCCUACCCCAUUUGUGCACUGGUUCACAGAUCUUUAAUUAUAUGACCAAGAACUGGGAACACAACAACCAAAAGCCAGCCAUUGCCAGUUAAAGAAGCCAUCAUAAAUCAGGAUUUAGGACUUGAGGCUGACGUAGAUGCCAGUGGGAAUGCUAAUUGCCAUGACCCUUUCCAGGAACACUCUUACCAAGCAAAUGUUUCCACUCGGCCAAGAGGGUGGUUCUUAGGGAGCCGUGCAGGGCCUGUGCCUUGGGAAUGGGCGGAGUUGGGCAGGCAGCAGGGAAGAAUGAGGACAUUCCAGGGGAAUGAGCAACACUCCAGUACCUGGGGAGUGCAGGGUCUCAUGGAAGCAUGUCCCUUUCUAUCCUCUCAACAAGGUUCGUAGACAUUAUUGUUUCUGUUUUACAGAUGAAGGAACUCAGGCUUUUCUAGGUCAGGUGAUUUUCCGGGCUUAUUCACAGAGUUGCGAUUGAGCUCAUGUGUGUCUACAGCCCAGGCUGGUGCUCCUGUGCAGGCCAGGGGGAACCACAGGUCCUGGGCAGAGGAGGGGGUGGGCAUAGUGGAUGAGCAGCAGGGGGGCACAGGAGGAAAAAAGCCAGGGACACAAUGGGGCCUCACCCUUCCAAAGAUUGUUUCCCAUUCCCUACUCGGCCCUGGGACUUCCUGGCCAGUGGACCAGAUUUUGAUUCCAGUUGGAAUGGUGAGAAAAUUGAGACUCAGAGAGAGUGCUUUGCUGCUCUGCUGAAGAUCACUUAGAGCAGGCACUGACAGAAUAGGGGUGUCUCCACUGGAAUGUCAGCUCAGAGAGGGUAGCACUGGGCCCUAAACCGAAUGACACAUGUCCUCAUAAGAGACAGAAAAGACCCAGAAACACAGGGAGGAAGGUGAUGUGAAGACAGGCAGAGAUGGGAGUAAUGCAGCCACAAGCCAAGGAAUGAACGCCAGGAGCCAGUUGAAGCUGGAGAAGGCAGGGGAGUCUCCCUUUGGAGCAGUUGGAGGGAGGAAGUGUGGCCUUGCUCACACCGUGGUUCCAGACUUCCGGAUUCCAGAGCUGUGGGAGAACGCAUUUCUGCUGUUUUAAGCCAUCCAGUUUGUGGUCAUUUGCCGCAGCAGCCCUAGGAGACUAAUGCAGUGCCCAACAAGAGACCCUGACGGAUGCUGCUCUGAUGGUUACAACCCGAGGCUUGGCUCCCUUCGAAGAGCUCUGCUGUGUUCCUAUUUUGCUGCACUCCCCCUGCCCACCCCUGCACCCCCAUCCAUAUUAGAAUAAGAUUGAAUUUUCUAGCUUGGGUUACUAAGCUUUCAGAUCUGGAAACUGUGGCCAUUAAUCAGCUGUCACGGGAUGUCGUAAACAAGGGGCUUUAAAAACCAUGUUUGCUUUUUAGGCUGAUAAUACUUGGAGGUGAAGCCGGGAGAGUUAUACAUAAUGCAUGCAUUUUAAUGGGCCGCGCACUACAGCCCUCUUUAGUUGGAAUGAUUCGUUUUAAUGUUCAAAAUAAAUAUCAGAGACAAUUUGCCAACAAAGCUGAUUUUCUCCGCCCGCCAUUAACUUAAUCUUUAUACCUCAGCCUAAUGACAGAGGGACUAGGGAUGGGAGGGGGGUGCUUUGUAUUGUAAGUAACGGGGAGAAGCCAUCGGUGUGGUCAUGAGCCAUGAGUGACCACACAUUCCAGUUUGCUCAGGACAGCCCUGCUUUUACCCAAUGUCCCAGAGUAAUUAUUCUGAGCUUGGAUCAAGUGGGGUUGCCAAUAUCCAACUAGUUUUGACCUGCAAGAUAGAAAUUUCCUAGGGUUUAAUCAAAACAUAGAAAUGUUGCUUGGCUUAUAUGAUUAAUGAUAUCACAUGCUAAAUAUGCCCCUUAUAGGUGGGGAAACUGAGGCCUUAAAUGCUGAGAGGCAUUGCCCAGGGCCACUGAGCUUCACAGAAGCAGGGCUCUGGGCUCCCUAGUACCCUGUGCUCCUGUUCCCAAGCCAGGUGUUUCUCUUGGAUGGCAUCCAGACUAUACCUGUCUCUUUUGUGCCUUCAGCUCUAAGGGCUUCUUGCUGCCCUUUUGAAAGGCAAACCUCAGAGUCACAGUUCUUGUCCCUGGCUUCUUGUGGUGAUACUUCCUGGGGUGACAACCUGGCUAUGGCACCACCAUCCACCUGUAAUCACCCAAGCACAUUACCAUGAGAAUGGGGGCCACAUACUGACCAUCCAUUUUUUCUUGAAAACAGACACAUGUUUGGAGGACAGCCAUGCUCAACCACUGUACCACCAAUGCAAACCAGCAUGGAGUUGACAGGGGAGACAGGAGGAAUGUCCCUCAACAUGUAGAGGCUGAUUCUUUUAGUUUACUUAUUUAUGUCCCUGUGCAGUUGCUGGUGAAUGGGGAGGAAUUCAGAAGGUGAGUCAGUCUGAGCAUGAGUAGGGCAGGGCAGGGGUGGGAUUUACUGAACAAAGCUGAUGUUAAACCCAAAAGUGACCUUGCAAAACAAGGAAGUAUCAUCCCCCCUGCAGUCCCCAGGAAAAUAUGUAUCUACUUGAUGGUGUGUUAGGGCCAAUGGGAAUGUUUUCUGGAGAACCCGUUGCUGCUGGGGACACAGAGAGCAGGAAGCCUAGACCUUGCCCUGCCCACCUGUCAGAGUGAACACAGGACUUUGCACCUCUUAUUGGAGAGGUGGGUCCAUCUACAGACCGAGCUUCAGAGAAAAAACAUGAGGGCAAGAGUCAUUCAUUCUCUUCUUUAUUCAUUUAAUAAAUAUGGAGUCCUUAAGGGCCAGCUGUUCUGCUAAGAACUAGGAUAAAUUCACCUAAAAAUCCAUGUUUAAGACUUUCUGUGAAAAUUGUAAGAUCUGGCUUAUGGCCUAGCAUUCCUGCCUGGCGGCCAUCGAUAGCGCUGAGCUGUGGCCGCCUGUCCUGGUGUCACCUUUGUCUAGCCCAUGUCACUCCCCUAGGCAGCCGGUUUGGUCCUGAAGCUACUUGAUUUUGAGAAUCCUGGCUUAGUCUCUGCUUCCUAUAUCAAAGGGAGGUGCCAAAGAAAUUCUUGCUGUUUGUUGCAUGAAACUGAGUCUAGGUGGUUCUCUAAGGAGGUCCUGUACUUCCUUCAGACAUUGCCGUAGCUUGGUACAAGUGCCCUUGGGUUUCGGAGGGGAGGAAGUCUCUCCCCAGGAAGCUCAAAUGGGGAAAGGAUGCUGAGGGACCACACCUACCUCAGAAUCCAGGAGAAGUGAGUGCAUAACACUACGGGCACAGCAGCCUUGGUGGGAAGGCAGCUUCACCUAAGCCCUUGGAAUGCAACUUGACCACAUUUCCCAAAAUUUGAAAAGCCCAUACCCUUUUGGCCCAGCUGUUCCAGGGCUGUAUUCCAAAGAUGUGUUUGCAGAAGUGCACUGAGAUGUAGAUGCAAGCCUGAGUGUUAAGAAAUGUUUGUGAUAGCAGCUAGAAACCACCAGAAUGUCCAUCAAGGGGCUGAGCGUAUAAGAUGUGGUGCUUCCAUGCCAAGUGGCUGCAGGACAGAAUGUAGCUCUUUUUGUGCUGAUAUAGAGAGAUUCAGAGUUGCAUUUUCAGCAAAAUAAAGCCAAGAGCAUAGCAGUGUAUAUAUGAACACCUCUGUGUAUAUAAGAAAGGACUGUUGAAAGCUUGGCCUUUGGCACAGCCUACCUGGGGGGUAAGUUCCUGCUUUGCUGCUUUCCAGCUGUGUGACUUGGGGAAGUCACUUGACCUCUCUAGCUUUAGUUACCUCGGCUGGACAACAGAGCUAAUAAUAGCAUCUGAUUGUAGCGCUGUUAUGAGGAUUGAGUGUGUUAAGACACAAAAAGCAUGACCAGGGCUGGGCCCAGAGAAAGUCUUUGUCAGCUAUUACCAUUGUUGUAUAUACUUACAUAAUUUUUUUUCCCUAAAG
rnacentral:lncRNA from 1 species